rnacentral:lncRNA from 1 species
UUUUGAUGGGGGCAAUGGAGCUCUUUUGAUUACUUUUUCAGAUAUCAGAAGGUUGUGACAGGGAAGGUGUGGGUUGAACAAUUCAGUGACAGAGUCAAAAUCCCCAAACUUCUCCACUGGACCAUGUGCCCACAAGGCAGGAGCAGCAGCCCAUCUUGCCUGCACUUUAGAGUCACCAGUUGGGAUGGGGCGUUUGGAAGUAACACCCAGAGCCCCUUUCCAGACCAAUUGAACCGGCAUCCUGAGCAGCGAGAGAGAGGAACAGUAGGAGCCCGCAAGGCCAAGACCUGGGAUAAUGCAGGGAAAUGAGCUGGAAACGCUGUGUGUACUCGCUUGGCAAUUUGUUGGCUGGAACCUGGGCUUUGCGCUUCACUGAGAGCCGUUGCGCCCAGGAAGAGGCUGGCAUUGUGCUGCGGGGUGCAACCUGUUGCCAGGAGCUCAGUGGAGAAAGGGCCACCAGGAACUCAGACGUGGCUUUGACUCACAGGCCAACUGGAUCUCCAGGCCUGCAGAGAGCAUUGGAGAUUCUGCUCUUGUUAAAAGGCAGCAGAGGGAGGGGCACGAGCAAAGGUGUGAGCUCUGCGAGGAAGCUAGACCGGAGGCCCCAAACUUCAGCCACCUCAUCUUGAAAACAGGGAAAUGAGAGUUACUGCAAGCAUUAACGUCACAGUCACAAUAUGUCAGAGCACUCUGUUCAGCAUCUGGCACAGAGGCAUCCUCAAAAAUGUAAGUUAAUGUCAUUUUUCUCCUACAGCCAGGUGUCUUCCUCUGGGAGGAGCAGACAUCAUGU